rnacentral:misc_RNA from 1 species
AGCAUCAAGACCCACCAUCAGAAUACGCAUCUCUUUCUUAGCAAACAGUCGGCUGAACAACUUAGUGAAAGACAACCCCAUCCUUACAGGUCUGGUGAUUCAAACAAUUAACAAAAUCAAAUCAUUAAUGGUCUACGUCAUGUCACUCCAACAAAGACAAGAUUCCCAGGGAAAACAAAAUGUAAUUAAGAACACACAGAGCGUCAGCCAUAUGCUUUUAGUUAAUAAAUUAGAUUAAGAUGAAUAUUCAAGAGAAUUGUAGAUUCCGAAUUGCACAUCCUACACCGUUGUAGAAGGGAAUUUGAUAAGAGAAUGAAAGAUGUUAUAUCAGCAAACAGAAUGCCACUCUUGAGUUAAAAAUGAACUUGAUUAUAUACACAUUAUAAUUAUUCCCCAAAGAAAAUUAAUAAUAUCGUUUAGACUACGAUUCAAAAUUGUAUAAACAAAAGGAUUCACACCACUAAUGAAUCGGAAGCAUCCUAUUUGCAAUCAAGGGAGUGCAAAAAAAAGGCUACAAAGAGGAGUCAAUUUAAUUUUUUAGAAUGACGGCUUAAAACUCGCAUUAGGCUUCAAUAACAGGUAGAUCAAGCAUCCAACCGCAUAUAAUACAUCUAUAGACGUUCAAAUCUAAGGUAUCAUCAAAUGAUUUCGAUCAUGCAAACAAAUGAUUAAGCAAGGAAAACAGAGAUCCACAGGGUAACAAUCAAAACUCAAAACAAUUAUCAAGAUCAAGACAUCAGAAAACAGAAUCCCGCUCGAAAUCUUAAGAUCACAAAAAUUAACAAAUUGAAUUAAGAAAAAAGCAAGCCAGAAUUCCACGUACAGAGAAGGAGAUCAGAUCGAAACAGAAAUGGAAUCAGAGAUUGGAAAAAAAAAAUAGUGAAGAAAAAGAGAGGAAUUGAGAUCGUGAAGGAGAAAUCACUUGCCUGAGAGAAGAGCCAAGAGCAAAUAAGAGAUCUACCUCCUCACAAAAUGAGGAAAAUUAAAAUGAAGAGUUGUCCUCCACAGCAAUUUUAACUCGGUAUCAGAAAGAGCGUGUGUUUAUAUAGGGGAACAGAUGGCUGGAUUUGGUGUUUAACUGUAAAACGCGCCGUUAAAGCGUGUUUCUUAGGCUUUCUGUACUCUUGGUUGGUUACGUUACGCCGUUAUGACGAUACUUUGGGCGUUUGGCUGGCAUCGGGAGGACGCAGAGAUCGUAGUCUGUUUGGGGAAAAG